GCCGCUGGCCAUGUGUGGACGGAGCGUGUGGCAUUGGCGCUCCCGUGCGCUAAAUCGCGGUGGGCUUACGCUGCUCCUUAAGCAGCAGGAGCGGUACGCGAAGAUAGAGCGCACCGGAACAAUUAGAAAGAAGAUGGUUGAGCUGGAGAUGAGCAACUACACGCCGAUAUCAUCAUGGCCAGGGGAAGUGUACAGGGACAAUGUCAGAAGUGCCCAUGUGACGCCAGAAGUAUUGCAUCGGAGUUAUGGGAGAGAAAUUGAUGUCUGGAGCGCUGGAGUGGUCUUGUAUAUUCUUUUAUGUGGUUUACUGCCUUUCUGGGCAGGUAAGUAUUCAUGCAUAUUCAGGAGACAUCUUCAGCUUACCAUAGUAAACAGCAGGGCUAAAACUUGCAAUUUGAAACUAUACUGGUGGUUCAAGUUGAUUUGAGUACCAGACCGUGGUGGACAAUAUUUGAAACUUCAAAGGGUUCUUAUCUGUAUACUGCAGUAUAGGCCUUAGGUAGUACACCAUCUGGGGUCAUGAAUGAAGAGUUCUGCAUUUGUAUAGAUUAUAUAUGUCAUUUACCAUAAACAAUAGUACUUGUUUGUGUGCAAAACAUCUGUGGCUCAAAGAAGGUGGAUAAUAUUUAAAAGA